CUCAGAACGAACGCUGGCGGCGUGCUUAACACAUGCAAGUCGGAUGCGAACGCUGGUUUCGGCUGGUAAGUAGCAUGGCAGACGGGUGAGGAACACGUACUUAACCUGACGCGUGAUGGGGGAUAGUCUCUCGAAAGAGGGUUGAAUACCGCAUAGGCUCUUGAGGUGUAAGGCUUCAGGAGGAAAGUUGGCCUCUGCGUGCAAGCUGAUGUCAUGCGAGGGGGGUGCGUCCUAUUAGCUAGCUGGGAGGGUAAUGGCCUACCAGGGCGACGAUGGGUAGCUGGUCUGAGAGGAUGAUCAGUCACACUGGGACUGAGACACGGCCCAGACUCCUACGGGAGGCAGCAGUGGGGAAUUUUGCGCAAUGGGCGCAAAGCCUGACGCAGCAACGCCGCGUGAGUGAAGACGCCUUUCGGGGUGUAAAGCUCUGUCAGUGGGGACGAAGGUGUGGUGAUGAACAGUUGCCAGGCGUGACGGUAACCACGAAGGAAGCCCCGGCUAACUCCGUGCCAGCAGACGCGGUAAAGACGGAGGGGGCGAGCGUUGUUCGGAAAUUACUGGGCGUA
rnacentral:rRNA from 1 species